rnacentral:rRNA from 1 species
UACAGAGGGUGCGAGCGUUAAUCGGAAUUACUGGGCGUAAGGCGCACGUAGGUGGCUUGGCAAGUCGGGUGUGAAAGCCCCGGGCUCAACCUGGGAAUUGCAUUCGAGACUGCAUUGCUGGAGUACGGAAGAGGAAGGCGGAAUUCCCGGUGUAGCGGUGAAAUGCGUAGAUAUCGGGAGGAACAUCAGUGGCGAAGGCGGCCUUCUGGUCCAGUACUGACACUCAAGUGCGAAAGCGUGGGGAGCAAACAGG